rnacentral:rRNA from 1 species
GAGUUUGAUCAUGGCUCAGGACGAACGCUGGCGGCGUGCUUAACACAUGCAAGUCGAACGAAGAGCGAUGGAAGCUUGCUUCUAUCAAUCUUAGUGGCGAACGGGUGAGUAACGCGUAAUCAACCUGCCCUUCAGAGGGGGACAACAGUUGGAAACGACUGCUAAUACCGCAUACGAUCUAACCUCGGCAUCGAGGAAAGAUGAAAGGUGGCCUCUAUGUAUAAGCUAUCACUGAAGGAGGGGAUUGCGUCUGAUUAGCUAGUUGGAGGGGUAACGGCCCACCAAGGCGAUGAUCAGUAGCCGGUCUGAGAGGAUGAACGGCCACAUUGGGACUGAGACACGGCCCAGACUCCUACGGGAGGCAGCAGUGGGGAAUCUUCCGCAAUGGACGAAAGUCUGACGGAGCAACGCCGCGUGAGUGAUGACGGCCUUCGGGUUGUAAAGCUCUGUUAAUCGGGACGAAAGGCCUUCUUGCGAAUAGUUAGAAGGAUUGACGGUACCGGAAUAGAAAGCCACGGCUAACUACGUGCCAGCAGCCGCGGUAAUACGUAGGUGGCAAGCGUUGUCCGGAAUUAUUGGGCGUAAAGCGCGCGCAGGCGGAUCAGUCAGUCUGUCUUAAAAGUUCGGGGCUUAACCCCGUGAGGGGAUGGAAACUGCUGAUCUAGAGUAUCGGAGAGGAAAGUGGAAUUCCUAGUGUAGCGGUGAAAUGCGUAGAUAUUAGGAAGAACACCAGUGGCGAAGGCGACUUUCUGGACGAAAACUGACGCUGAGGCGCGAAAGCCAGGGGAGCGAACGGGAUUAGAUACCUCGGUAGUCCUGGCCGUAAACGAUGGGUACUAGGUGUAGGAGGUAUCGACCCCUUCUGUGCCGGAGUUAACGCAAUAAGUACCCCGCCUGGGGAGUACGACCGCAAGGUUGAAACUCAAAGGAAUUGACGGGGGCCCGCACAAGCGGUGGAGUAUGUGGUUUAAUUCGACGCAACGCGAAGAACCUUACCAGGUCUUGACAUUGAUGGACAGAACUAGAGAUAGUUCCUCUUCUUCGGAAGCCAGAAAACAGGUGGUGCACGGUUGUCGUCAGCUCGUGUCGUGAGAUGUUGGGUUAAGUCCCGCAACGAGCGCAACCCCUAUCUUAUGUUGCCAGCACUUCGGGUGGGAACUCAUGAGAGACUGCCGCAGACAAUGCGGAGGAAGGCGGGGAUGACGUCAAAUCAUCAUGCCCCUUAUGACCUGGGCUACACACGUACUACAAUGGGAGUUAAUAGACGGAAGCGAGAUCGCGAGAUGGAGCAAACCCGAGAAACACUCUCUCAGUUCGGAUCGUAGGCUGCAACUCGCCUACGUGAAGUCGGAAUCGCUAGUAAUCGCAGGUCAGCAUACUGCGGUGAAUACGUUCCCGGGCCUUGUACACACCGCCCGUC